GUACACAGCUGAUCGCAUUUGGUGUUUAGUGUUUGAGUUAUUUGUGGUCAGUGAUUUACAAAUCAGAUGUAGUUUAUUACUGUUGUUAUGUUAAAAGUAUAUUUAUCAGUAUUCACCUUCAGAUAUUGAGAAUUCUGGUAAUUUUUUUUAUUAGGUUAUGUCUUUCAAGAGGGACGGUGACGAUCUUAAUUUGCUUCGCAGUCUCAAGCAUCGUCGAGUGUGUGAACUGCUAUCCAGUCACAUACCAGAUGAUGAAGCUAUGUUACUAAAGAAUGGAAGGUUGACAUGCAUGAUAUGUACUCACCGACCCAUCUUCGACACACUCAGUAUGCUUGCCAUUCAUCGCAAAGGCAAGAAGCAUGUCAGUGAGCUCAGCAAGUACUUGCUUCACAAGAGGGAAUUAGACACGAAGAAACUGAAGUCUGAGCAGAGGAGAUAUCUAUGUACUGGACUGGUUGAAUCAAUGGGGCACAGAGCUUUAUCAGGGGAAGCACAGGGUAACAAGCUGCUUAUCACGCAGGUGGCUUACAGUAGUUGUUCCAAGCAGAGACUGGGGCUGCAGCGGAAACCCAUCUUGGACAUUGAGAAUAUAUCAAAGGAGACUGAAAUCCCUGGAGUAGCAACAAAAAAUAAUGUGUUUCCUUCAGCUUCAGCACAAGUUCGUCAGUAUUUGAAAGGACUUUGGAAGAAAAAGCCCCUUGAAAAAACUGUAGAGAAAUGUCGAGAGAAUUAUGGCGAAGGUUGGGCAAAGUCCUUAAAUAAUGUAGUUGAUAUCAGUCUGCCAGACUGCCCAGAAUCGAUUUUGGAAGAUACUGCAACAUCAUCCAGACCGUGCAGUGAAGAAGACGUGGCUAGGAAGAAGAAGGCAGACCAUGAACUGAAACUAAAAAUGAGUGGCUGGAUCAAGAAUGCUGAUGGAAAAUGGGUGCAAGACCCAGAUGUGGAGUUUGACAGUGAUGAGCAUGAACCACCUAAAUCCUCAGACUGAUAACCUUGUCUUCAGGUACAAAAGGUUUGCCUCCAAAAUAAUGUUCCCAAUAUUUCAACAAACACUUGUUAAGAUAAUGUUGGACCAGGAAACUUUGGCGUUUGCCAGGUGUAGGCGUGUAGCCAUGCAACAUUGCUUCAGUUGUACCUCUCGCAAUGAUGACUACAAAGACGAAUACUCAACGUCAUUUUAAUGUACAGCACUAACAACAUAACAAUGCAUUUUGGGUGUUCAUUAAACAUACGCAAACAUUUUUUUAAUUGUUACUCAUAACAUCUUUCUUUACUUAUAACAAUAGAAUUGUAACGCCAUUCACCAGCACUCCAAGAUUAAACCCUUACAGACAUACAGUUGUUUCAAAAUGUGUGAAAUAAUUUAUUAUUGAAGGUCAAAAGUAUCUAAGAAUGGAAUGGAGAGAAAUAGUGCGUGCUAUGAAUUUAACAAAAAGGAGCCUGGACAACUUUGCACUUAGAAGAGGAACAUGUCCGGGGAAAAGAGGACAUCUGGCCACCUUUCAAAUAGUUAUCAAGAACAAAUGUUUGCUGGGAAAGACUGUUAGCUCUGAGAAGUAUUUCUCUUGCAGCAGUAAUGGACAGUUUACAUCAACAUAAAAGGAGAUGAAUGGGUCUGGCUACUGCCAGGAAUAACGUGUAUGUGUUGCUAAGGUGGUCAGCCUGAAGAAUAAAUAGUCUGGUAGAAGUUUA